rnacentral:ncRNA from 2 species
AACAUUCAAAUACGAGCCCUUCAUAUAUCCUCGAUAAUAUGGAUCGAAAGUCUCUACCGAAUCACCGUAAAUGAUUUGACUAUGAAGGCAGAUGUUUCAGUG